AAUGAACGCUGGCGGCGCGCCUAAUACAUGCAAGUCGAGCGAGAAGACGUAGCAAUACGUUUGUAAAGCGGCGAACGGGUGAGGAAUACAUGGGUAACCUACCCUCGAGUGGGGAAUAACUAGCCGAAAGGUUAGCUAAUACCGCGUACGCUCCUUGGACUUCGGUUCAGGGAGGAAAGCGAUACCGUGGGUAUCGCGCUCUUGGUUGGGCUCAUGUCCUAUCAGCUUGUUGGUGAGGAACGGCUCACCAAGGCUUCGACGGGUAGCUGGUCUGAGAGGACGAUCAGCCACACUGGCACUGCGACACGGGCCAGACUCCUACGGGAGGCAGCAGUAAGGAAUAUUGCGCAAUGGGCGAAAGCCUGACGCAGCGACGCCGCGUGGGGGAUGAAGGUCUUCGGAUUGUAAACCCCUUUCGGGAGGGAAGAUGGAACGAGCAAUCGUUCGGACGGUACCUCCAGAAGCAGCCACGGCUAACUUCGUGCCAGCCGCCGCGGU
rnacentral:rRNA from 1 species